AGCUUUGCAAAGUGGCAGUAUCAUAGCCAAUGAGGUUUAUCCGAGACGCAAUUAUUGCUAAUUGAAAAAACAUAACCAUAGUCC
rfam:Otolemur garnettii contig085545, whole genome shotgun sequence.